CGUGCGUGCACGGAGAGCAGAGGAGCAGUGAAUACACACCUAUGUCUGGUCUGCAGAUGGUGAGGUAGCGGUCGAUGGCCACCACAGUCAACAAGCCGAUACUGGCCAUGCCGAAGAAGAUGUUGAGAGCAGCAUAGAUCUGGAGACAAGAACACAGAAAUGCCGACCAUCUCGUCUGACAGCUCUGCAGCCUGACCCCGACGCAGCAUCUCCAUGCCAACCUCCAACCAGAGCCACAGCUCCAGGGCCACAUGAUUGAAGGCCCUCACAUUCCACCCACCUGACAACCAGUGUAGCCAAACUUCCAGCUCCCGUGGAUGUCUGAGGCGGCUGACAUGGGAUAUCCGAUCCCGGCCACCCCAAUGUCAGUAAAAGCCAGGUUGAUUAUAAUGAAGUUGGUGGCAGUGCGGAGCUCCUUGAACUUCACAAACAUGAGCAGCACCACAAUGUUGCUUGCUAGACUGAUGACGCCUGAGAAAAGGAGAGAAGACGUGAAGUACAGAGUCCUGAUCCCAUAUUUAUUCGGAACAUGAGGCACAGUGGAUGAGGCGUAAAGCAAAUGGAGGUUUUAAGGUGAAAUUCUGCUCGUUCUGCUUUUUCUCAAUUGUAGAAUAGAACUUUGUAAGUGAAAAGAAAUCUCAAAAGUUAAAGUGAAUGUCUUAACCUCUGUCUUAACUACAGUGGAUUUAGUGAGAAAUGGAGUAAUGUGCUCACUGCAGUAAACAAUGAUCCAACAGCCAUGGCUCUAACAGACAGUCAGUGUUGGUACAGAUUUCCUGCUGAGCAUAGCAUCAAGGCUGUCCUGUCUCUGCUUGUUUGUCUCAAAAGAAUUACACAAGACUUUCCACUAUGUGGCUGGAUGAUUUGUUUGUUUUUGCUUAUGUUUAUAAUAUUCUUUCCUUUUCAUUUGUUUUUUGUAUUCUUUUUUUCUCAUUCUUUUUCCGUCAGUUGUAAUAAUUCACGUGUUCUCCAUU